AUUAAAAAAUAUGAUAGAUACAUAAAUUUAAGGGGCAAUUGCUUAUAUACCCCUGAAAAGUUCCUAACUUUCUGAUUUACCCGUCUUAGAAGGCUAAUACUGAAAAAAUAAUUUUUACGUUUCAACCUAUUUCAAAUAUACCUCUAUAGUUAAAAUCUAUUAAUGAACUAUGUUAUCUGUAUAAAAUUAUUAUUUUGCCAUUUCAAAUAUACCCUUUCACCAUCACCGAUUUUUCUUAUUUGCCCUUAAAGUCAGUGGCACAAAAAAUAUUUUAACUUUUGGUUUUUUCAAAUAUACCUCUCUACCGUCACUAAUAUUUCUUAUUUGCCCUUAAGUUAAGGGGCAAAUUUGGCAUUUUAAUUUUUUUUAACUGUGCUAGAUAUUUAACUUAAGUUUAACUAAAGUUAACUUAACAGCAGAUAAUUGUGGGGGUAUUUUGUAAUAACGGUGGAACAUAUGAGAUGUAUUUUAGAAAGAAAAAAAAGGGAUAAAUCGGAUAUUUUCAAACGUAUGAGGGGUAUAUAGGCAAUUAUCCCUAAAUUUAAUUUGUAACUAACGAGUUAACAAUUAUUUAAAUUCAAAUUU
rnacentral:lncRNA from 1 species